UGAUGAAGUCAGAGGCCCAAAC
rnacentral:piRNA from 1 species